rnacentral:rRNA from 1 species
GGCUCAGGAUGAACGCUAGCUACAGGCUUAACACAUGCAAGUCGAGGGGCAUCAGGAAGAAAGCUUGCUUUCUUUGCUGGCGACCGGCGCACGGGUGAGUAACACGUAUCCAACCUGCCCUUUACUCGGGGAUAGCCUUUCGAAAGAAAGAUUAAUACCCGAUAGCAUAAUGAUUCCGCAUGGUUUCAUUAUUAAAGGAUUCCGGUAAAGGAUGGGGAUGCGUUCCAUUAGGUUGUUGGUGAGGUAACGGCCCACCAAGCCUUCGAUGGAUAGGGGUUCUGAGAGGAAGGUCCCCCACAUUGGAACUGAGACACGGUCCAAACUCCUACGGGAGGCAGCAGUGAGGAAUAUUGGUCAAUGGGCGCUAGCCUGAACCAGCCAAGUAGCGUGAAGGAUGAAGGCUCUAUGGGUCGUAAACUUCUUUUAUAUAAGAAUAAAGUGCAGUAUGUAUACUGUUUUGUAUGUAUUAUAUGAAUAAGGAUCGGCUAACUCCGUGCCAGCAGCCGCGGUAAUACGGAGGAUCCGAGCGUUAUCCGGAUUUAUUGGGUUUAAAGGGAGCGUAGGUGGACUGGUAAGUCAGUUGUGAAAGUUUGCGGCUCAACCGUAAAAUUGCAGUUGAUACUGUCAGUCUUGAGUACAGUAGAGGUGGGCGGAAUUCGUGGUGUAGCGGUGAAAUGCUUAGAUAUCACGAAGAACUCCGAUUGCGAAGGCAGCUCACUGGACUGCAACUGACACUGAUGCUCGAAAGUGUGGGUAUCAAACAGGAUUAGAUACCCUGGUAGUCCACACAGUAAACGAUGAAUACUCGCUGUUUGCGAUAUACAGUAAGCGGCCAAGCGAAAGCAUUAAGUAUUCCACCUGGGGAGUACGCCGGCAACGGUGAAACUCAAAGGAAUUGACGGGGGCCCGCACAAGCGGAGGAACAUGUGGUUUAAUUCGAUGAUACGCGAGGAACCUUACCCGGGCUUAAAUUGCAGUGGAAUGAUGUGGAAACAUGUCAGUGAGCAAUCACCGCUGUGAAGGUGCUGCAUGGUUGUCGUCAGCUCGUGCCGUGAGGUGUCGGCUUAAGUGCCAUAACGAGCGCAACCCUUAUCUUUAGUUACUAACAGGUUAUGCUGAGGACUCUAGAGAGACUGCCGUCGUAAGAUGUGAGGAAGGUGGGGAUGACGUCAAAUCAGCACGGCCCUUACGUCCGGGGCUACACACGUGUUACAAUGGGGGGUACAGAAGGCAGCUAGCGGGUGACCGUAUGCUAAUCCCAAAAUCCUCUCUCAGUUCGGAUCGAAGUCUGCAACCCGACUUCGUGAAGCUGGAUUCGCUAGUAAUCGCGCAUCAGCCACGGCGCGGUGAAUACGUUCCCGGGCCUUGUACACACCGCCCGUCAAGCCAUGGGAGCCGGGGGUACCUGAAGUACGUAACCGCAAGGAUCGUCCUAGGGUAAAACUGGUGAC